CGAGGCUCGCAGCGCAGCUUUGAUUCUCGGUAGUCAACGGACAUGUUACAACCGCGAUUUUGACGGGGCCCCAGUUUUGAACGUCACGUCGGCUGAACGUGGUUUUCUCGGCACAAAUCGACUUCAAAUAUAUUGGACGGCAGUCUUUACUGGCAAAUGCAACGUGUAGACAACACGAGAGAGUCACUUGGAAAAGGCAAAGCUGUGAAGAAUGGAGAGAUGUCGCUAGGAGUGUGGGACAGCGUAUGCAGUACAUAUGAUGGAGCCAUGCAACUCUCUUAUUCCUAUCAAUGGAAAUACAAAUGAGCCAAGAUCAUUUAGUCUGCAUGGGAAUCAACAAAAUCAUUGUCUCAACUGCAUGGCCAGCACAAAGCCCUAUCUUAAAUUCUGUUUGUCCGUACGUCCUACUGUCAACUGUCUGUUUGCCUGUCUGCAGCCUUUCUGUUUGUCUUUCCAUAUAUUUUCCUAAAUGAAGUUAGAAAGUUUGAAACAAUAUAAAAGCAAGCAAGGCUAAGUACAGUUCACAUUGUCCAACAGCUAAAUACAACUUGCAGAUUAAGCAAAAUAAAGGGACAUAAAUGUCCUUGUCUGUCUGUCUGUCUGUCUGUUUUCAUUGACUGUAUAAGUCAAUCAACAUAGUGACUGUAUAAAUAGGUCAAUAUUGACUGUAUAUAUCAAUUCAUAUCGACU